UAACAGCUGGGUGAUGACUCUUUCCCCGGCAGAUCGACUAUGGCGAAUUCUUUGUUUGCAAGUCAAGACAGUCUGACAGCUGUUG